AGACAGCUUCCUGAGUACUAAACUUAUGUGCAGCAACUUGGAUCAUGAGAAUUAAUCUGGUAGCAUAUCUAAUGAUACAAGCUGUUCCAUGUAGGAGACAGGAGUCCCUCUUCUACAAAUAGCUUUUCAAAACUGGCUCUUAGACACAUGCAACUAACCCUACACAUUUAUGCCUAUAGCUACUAGCAAUCUGAAUUGCAACACAUGCAAGACUCUCCCAUACACAAAGAAUGCCUAUUACACGGUUCUGUUAUUUCACAUAGCCAGAACUUCAACACAGAAAAAUGUUACAUAUACGUUUCUGAGUUUGAGACAUGUGAGCAUGAUAAAUACAGAAUAUUCUGAAACUAUCAAAAAAAAAAACCAGCUCAGUGUCAAGUAUAAGGGUGAUGAGCUGUGCUCCUUCAAAGUAGAGCACUGAUACAGCAUUCCCUCCUGCCUAUAGGCCAUAGGGAUCUAUGCUGGUUUCCUGCUAAGGUACAGCUGGGUUUAUCUGAGAAUUCUUCUGUUCUUGAUUCAUGGCAUUAUUUUUUUUUGGUCUUGCUUUAUCAGUCUGAAUCUGUAUUGUGAUUGUUGGGCUGCAUCUAAUAGUGGUUACUCUCUCUGAAUGUAACCUGUGAUUUUGUUUUCUGGCUUGGCCUUGGACCCAAUUUGUCACCAUGGAUGUCUGUUGAAUCUGGCUGUUUUCCCUGGCUCUGUCCUGCUUGGGUGUUGUGAGGCUAGAUCUCGGCUAGUGAGGCCCUUGCCCUGCUGUCUGUGGUAUCAGGUUUAAGUCUGCAUUCCUUACGGAGCAGCUGAUUCUGCAGGCAGUUCUGCACUUGUACAACUGCUUUUAUUUCUUGCACGUUGAUCUCUAGACUUUCUCUAAGAGCCAUCUAAGGAGUCAGAGCUAUUGCUGAAGUCUAGCUAUGUGAUUUCAAGUACUUCUCUAUUACUCUCAAAAGCCUAUUACAUUCUUAAAUAAGGCCUCUUCUAGAGUUAAUGAAUGCUUUCCAACUUCGUAUGCAAAGGUCCCCUUUUGGUACUGGAAGGUUGCAAUGAUGUCUCCCUGGAGCCUUCCCUUCGCCAGGCUGAACAACACCAGCUCCAACUCUUUCAGCAUCACAAGUAGCAAGUGAAAAUAUUCUGAUUAAUC
ensembl:lncRNA